rnacentral:rRNA from 2 species
CGCCUCUUGCAAAACCAAAGAAUAAGAGGUCCCGCCUGCCCGGUGACUAUAUGUUUAACGGCCGCGGUAUUUUGACCGUGCGAAGGUAGCGUAAUCACUUGUCUUUUAAAUGGAGACCUGUAUGAAUGGCAUAACGAGGGCUUAACUGUCUCCUCUUUCCAGUCAAUGAAAUUGAUCUCCCCGUGCAGAAGCGGGGAUAAAUACAUAAGACGAGAAGACCCUAUGGAGCUUUAGACACCAAGACAGAUCAUGUUAAAUACCCCUUGACAAAGGCCCGAACUUAAUGACCCCCUGUCCUAAUGUCUUCGGUUGGGGCGACCAUGGGGCAGCACAAAACCCCCAUGUGGACUGGGAGAACAAACCCAAAACCUUUUUCCCACACUCCCACAAGCAAGAGUUACAACUCUAACUAACAGAAUCUCUGACCUCUUACGAUCCGGCUCUCGCCGAUCAACGGACCAAGUUACCCUAGGGAUAACAGCGCAAUCCCCUUUUAGAGCCCAUAUCGACAAGGGGGUUUACGACCUCGAUGUUGGAUCAGGACAUCCUAAUGGUGCAGCCGCUAUUAAGGGUUCGUUUGUUCAACGAUUAAAGUCCU